rnacentral:rRNA from 1 species
UAGAGUUUGAUCCUGGCUCAGAACGAACGCUGGCGGCAUGCCUAACACAUGCAAGUCGAACAAGACCUUCGGGUCUAGUGGCGCACGGGUGCGUAACGCGUGGGAACCUGCCCUUGGGUUCGGAAUAACUCCCCGAAAGGGGUGCUAAUACCGGAUAAUGUCUUCGGACCAAAGAUUUAUCGCCUUUGGAUGGGCCCGCGUUGGAUUAGCUAGUUGGUGGGGUAAAGGCCUACCAAGGCGACGAUCCAUAGCUGGUCUUAGAGGAUGAUCAGCCACACUGGGACUGAGACACGGCCCAGACUCCUACGGGAGGCAGCAGUGGGGAAUAUUGGACAAUGGGCGAAAGCCUGAUCCAGCAAUGCCGCGUGAGUGAUGAAGGCCUUAGGGUUGUAAAGCUCUUUUACCCGGGAUGAUAAUGACAGUACCGGGAGAAUAAGCCCCGGCUAACUCCGUGCCAGCAGCCGCGGUAAUACGGAGGGGGCUAGCGUUGUUCGGAAAUACUGGGCGUAAAGCGCACGUAGGCGGCUUGGCAAGUCAGGGGUGAAAUCCCGGAGCUCAACUCCGGAACUGCCUUUGAAACUGCUUCGCUUGAAUCCUGGAGAGGCGAGUGGAAUUCCGAGUGUAGAGGUGAAAUUCGUAGAUAUUCGGAAGAACACCAGUGGCGAAGGCGACUCGCUGGACAGGUAUUGACGCUGAGGUGCGAAAGCGUGGGAGCAAACAGGAUUAGAUACCCUGGUAGUCCACGCCGUAACGAUGAGAACUAGCUGUCCGGGCACAUGGUGCUUGGGUGGCGCAGCUAACGCAUUAAGUUCUCCGCCUGGGGAGUACGGUCGCAAGAUUAAAACUCAAAGGAAUUGACGGGGGCCUG